rnacentral:rRNA from 1 species
GCCUAAUACAUGCAAGUCGAACGCACAGCGAAAGUGCUUGCACCUUUCAAGUGAGUGGCGAACGGGUGAGUAACACGUGGACAACCUGCCUCAAGGCUGGGGAUAACAUUUGGAAACAGAUGCUAAUACCGAAUAAAACUUAGUGUCGCAUGACACAAAGUUAAAAGGCGCUUCGGCGUCACCUAGAGAUGGAUCCGCGGUGCAUUAGUUAGUUGGUGGGGUAAAGGCCUACCAAGACAAUGAUGCAUAGCCGAGUUGAGAGACUGAUCGGCCACAUUGGGACUGAGACACGGCCCAAACUCCUACGGGAGGCUGCAGUAGGGAAUCUUCCACAAUGGGCGAAAGCCUGAUGGAGCAACGCCGCGUGUGUGAUGAAGGCUUUCGGGUCGUAAAGCACUGUUGUAUGGGAAGAACAGCUAGAAUAGGAAAUGAUUUUAGUUUGACGGUACCAUACCAGAAAGGGACGGCUAAAUACGUG